GGGCGUAAGAGCUCGUAGGCGGUUUGUCGCGUCUGUCGUGAAAGUCCGGGGCUUAACCCCGGAUCUGCGGUGGGUACGGGCAGACUAGAGUGCAGUAGGGGAGACUGGAAUUCCUGGUGUAGCGGUGGAAUGCGCAGAUAUCAGGAGGAACACCGAUGGCGAAGGCAGGUCUCUGGGCUGUAACUGACGCUGAGGAGCGAAAGCAUGGGGAGCGAACAGGAUUAGAUACCCUGGUAGUCCAUGCCGUAAACGUUGGGCACUAGGUGUGGGGACCAUUCCACGGUUUCCGCGCCGCAGCUAACGCAUUAAGUGCCCCGCCUGGGGAGUACGGCCGCAAGGCUAAAACUCAAAGGAAUUGACGGGGGCCCGCACAAGCGGCGGAGCAUGCGGAUUAAUUCGAUGCAACGCGAAGAACCUUACCAAGGCUUGACAUGUUCUCGAUCGCCGUAGAGAUACGGUUUCCCCUUUGGGGCGGGUUCACAGGUGGUGCAUGGUUGUCGUCAGCUCGUGUCGUGAGAUGUUGGGUUAAGUCCCGCAACGAGCGCAACCCUCGUUCCAUGUUGCCAGCACGUCAUGGUGGGGACUCAUGGGAGACUGCCGGGGUCAACUCGGAGGAAGGUGAGGACGACGUCAAAUCAUCAUGCCCCUUAUGUCUUGGGCUUCACGCAUGCUACAAUGGCCGGUACAAUGGGUUGCGAUACUGUGAGGUGGAGCUAAUCCCAAAAAGCCGGUCUCAGUUCGGAUUGGGGUCUGCAACUCGACCCCAUGAAGUCGGAGUCGCUAGUAAUCGCAGAUCAGCAACGCUGCGGUGAAUACGUUCCCGGGCCUUGUACACACCGCCCGUCAAGUCACGAAAGUUGGUAACACCCGAAGCCGGUGGCCUAACCCUUGUGGGGGAG
rnacentral:rRNA from 1 species